ACUUAACCCCCACGCCGCCGGAGACGCUGCCGGGGCGGGGCCGGCGGGCUCGGCCAAGGUCCCUCUUGUUCCUGGCACUCGUCGCUCCGGGUUCCCCUCGCCCCGGGCCCCGUCGCUGCUCGCCCGCGCCGCACCCCGCUGCAUUCUUAGUGUUGCAGCUGGGCCACUCCAGGCGCCCACCCAGCAGGCCGCAGGGCACGCGGACGCCGGGCCCUGUCCUGCCCGGACAGGAAGUGGGCCCGAGUUUCCCACUCCCGACGCCCGCUCCUUCCUCCGCGGAAAAGGAAGGCCCGGGCGGGCGCGGGCAGCCGGAUAUUCCCUGGGGUGCAAGCUGUGGCCGUGGGGCGCUGAGAGCCGCGCAGGUUCAGUGGAGGAGGAAACUGCGUGCUGGCCUUCUAGCUGACCACUGCACGCUGCAAGAACGGUUGAUGGAGUACUUAUUGAGACCUUGCAGUGGUUGGAUCACUUGCUCUGGGGAAACCAGCUACCAUCUUGUAAGGAUGCUCAAGCAGCUUAAUGAAGACAUCCUGAUGGCAUGGAACUGGGGCCUCCCGACAACAACCAGCACUAAAUCCAGGUGUGCGAGUGAGCUAUCGUGGCAGCUGAUCCCCCAGCUCCAGUCAGACCUUCAGAUGACUGCAGACCCAGCUGACCUGCUGGUUACAAAGCGAUGAGAGACCCUGAGCCAGAACUAGCCAGGCUUGUCCCUCAUGGUUACAAAGUGGCUGCAGCAGCUCCAGGCACUCCAUCGUUCAUACAAGACCCAACAUCAGACGAGAAGAAGAGGAGCAUUUUGAAGUAUAAAGAAGACUUUCCCAGAAACCCUGGAAUCCCCUCACACCUCACUGGCCAUAAUAGCACCACAAGACCAUUCCUAAAACAGUCAUCAGCAAGGCCCAUGAGCCUCACAAAUGCCACCAACACAACAGGCACUGCCGGAGUGUCUGGCUGAAGGGUCCCCAGCUUGCCAAAGCGGAGUGUGCUCUGAUGGUCCAGCACGUGCAACGGCACCUCUCACAAGAGGAUGAAACUUCACGGCCAUCAGAUGUUCCUGCCCCUGGUACCACAGUGGUUCAGUGCAAUGGGUGGCAUACCAGGGGCAAGGCGGUGGGAGUGGCAACCAUGGGGGCAGGACCAGGGGCUUGCAUGAUCUGUAAAGAAUCUUAAAACAAUAAUAAACCUCGAAAGGCAAUGUUGUGUCCUGCACUGAAUCCCGAAACAGAAAGAGGGCCAUAGUGGAAAUACUGCUAAAAUCCAAAUAAAGUCUGUUGUUUGCUUAA